AAACGAUCGAGGUGCUAAAGGAAACUAGAGAGAGCGAGAGGAGGAGCGACGGGGAGAGAGGAAAAUGAGGGAGAGACAGAGAGGAGGAGGGAUGCUGCAGUUUAGUGAUAACACCAAGUGCAGACGCGAGGAUGGAAAUUCAAGGCAGACGUUUGGAGAGUUGCUGCACGUUGGCCAGCUGGAGCUCCGCUCAGCCAUCUGAGGAUCGUUGGGUUGGACCAGGGUGCCCGAGGAGCCCAGUGAAUUAAGUCAUGCAUCACUCCAGCAACACCUGAGUGUGGCGUCACAUGGUUCUCAGGUGGACCAGAAGCGGGAUCCCACACUUAAAAGCCAGUUCUUCUGACAUAUAUUGACCAGAGGGAGAAGAAGGGCGGGAUCAGGAUGAGUCAGAGGAAAGCAGCUGGAAUUCUUUUGCCAGUGCACGAGCUGGUGGUGAUGGAGGUGCAGUAGAAAAGAAGAGAAGGAGAGCUUCUCCAGACCAGCAGCAGUGAGGGAGGUGCAGGGGAAGUGAGUCAGCGUGCUGGAGGGAGGCGAGGAAGAGCGAAGUGGAGGGUGAAGUUAGACGAGGGAAGGUUGAAUGAAGGUUUGCUGAAGUCCUCCCUCGACAUCGGGAGAGAACUGACCCAAGGAAACCGGGAAACUUCAGCAGCCAGCCGGAGCAGUCGAGCUGACCGAGUCGCAAAGGAACGUCGACACACAGCAACAGGGCCAUUUCAACGGUGACAGCCAGAUAUUGCUCUUAAAUAUUGAUACUGACUGGAAUCCUGCACAGCAGACUGAAGACGCUGGGAAAUCAAAACCCUGAAAAGACUGGUCUGAUUCUGCCUAAACCAGGGUUUGUUUCCAGGCCGAUCUUUGAUCAAGCCGACAUCCACCCUCAGAGAGAGUGAGACUUUCUUGCCUCAGUUUUUCUUGGGAGAUUUCGACACUCGGACUUGGCUGACGGUUGCCCGUGCGAUAGCCAAAAUGACGGGGCAGGACUCAAAGAAGCAGCCUUCACACAUCUGCACGUGAUGAAGACAAGUGUGGAGCAGAUCCUGCGAAGACAUACAUGUGUCACGGGAAGCCAGCUGUGUCUGAGAGUGUAUUGUCACAGCUCUGCCUUGAGGUGUGUGUGAUGUGCCGUACCAGUGUGAGUCGCCAGUUUCCUCCCCGCCAGCGACAGAGCUGGACCUGAACAGCGGUGGAGAGCGGGGGGACAGGAAGGGGGGCGAGAAGCAGCAAAGCAAAGUGAAAGCCACCAGCAGCAGAGAAGAGACUCAGAAACAACCAACAUGCUCGGAUAACAAGCCAAAGGAGCCGCGUUUCUGGCUGCGCCCCUGGUGCAAUGUGUGGCGUGGCGCCCUGCGGCGGGGGGGUUCUGUGAUGGUAACCAUGAUCCCAGGCAGCCACUAUGUCUGCAGCGCUCACGCCAGAGAGGACGACUCCACCAACGACAGGGAAGAGCGGAUCCUCGCCGUGUUAGGCAUCAUCGGAACCAUUCUGAACCUCUUGGUGGUGAUAUUUGUCUACAUCUACACUUCGGUCACCUGAGUAAAGAACCUUCCCCAAACGUUCCACCUCAUUCACUAUUCAUGGGCUCGGAGGGUUUGAUUGCUCAGCGAAUGCGGAGACGUGAGGUUCAUUGACAGAGCGUUCUUAACUACCUGGAUCACAUGAAAUCCCUGAUGACAGCUGGCUGCCGGGAAUCCAAGCCAAACGUAGAGUCCCUCUUCACGUCAAGACAUCAUCACUCCUCUCUUUUGGACAAGCCCAGAAAGACCUUCAGAGCUGAAAUGCAUUUUUAUAACCUGCGACUGAAUGAAGAAUUUGUAGCCAGAAGUUUGUGUCGCACAAAAUAGUUAAAAAACAAAGUUUCUUCCUGGUUUUUAGCUGCUGAGAUGGAAAAAAGGUUUCACACGGAACUGACGUGUCCUUACUUGAGCACACCAGAGGAGAGGUUCCUGGCUGUGCUGGGCGUCAUCGGCAUCAUGCUAAACCUCCUGCUGCUCGUCUUCGUCUACAUAUACACUGCCAUCUGACCAUUCCAUGUGAGAGAUACUCAUGGAAGAACUGAACACUGUCAAAAUGAUGCUGCGUGAUGUGAUGUGUAGAUAAUCAUAGCCAUCUGUAUCGCACAUGAUGCCGUUGCCUGAGAAGAAAAAGGAUGGCAGCGGAUAGAAGUGAUGAGUCAGCGUGGACACGGGCUCUUGACAAAAGCAAAGACCGAUCUGUUGUGGGUUUUUACGACCGAGUAAUGGGCUGUUUCCCCUCGCCAUGUGUCUCUGACUGGAUCGCUACACCGAGCGCGGAGCAGCACGAGAGAGUGGAACUGACACCGUGUCACACAAAGCAAAUCAGAACAGUACUGUUGCGGCCUGUCACAGCGGCGCACACUUGCAGCCGAGAAAUUGAGCAGAACCAGCGGGGAUUGCCCGGAAAAACAGGAGCCGAGGCCUCCAAACAAGGCUCCGCCAUCUGUCUGGGAAAUCAGCGAGGCACAACACGCCGCCCAGGAUUGGAUAACCGCGCUUCCGCUGGAACCACACGUCGCUGCGGAUAUUAUUUUGGGAACAGCGCGUCUCACUUGAAUUCGGUGGCGAGGCGAGGAGGAGGUGCGGGUCUGAAUCUGCACUUCAUUCUCAUCAUUCUCUUCUCCACCAACAAGCUCACGCCGGAGAAGACAUAGCACUGAAACCCCGCCGUUUCACUGAGCACACGACGUCACACGCACUCGAGCAGGGACUUGAACUCAGAGGAUUCUGGAGGACACUGUUUCAUAAGUGUUGCCAUUUGUGUCAUCGCAUCGUGAGGCUCUUUGUUACCUUGUGUGUUCCUGCCUAUAGUUUUAGCGCAGCUGUGUGUUUGGCGGAACUGAUGUGGCGCUAACCUUCAUCUGACAUAUCUAAUGAGUUUACUACUGUUUGUAGUUCUGGCAGAACAAGUGAGAUUUAUAGAACAUUUCUCAUUGGACGGGACGUUGGGGUUGCUGCAGAUGGCUCAGUCGCCACGGUGAUCUGAGGGCUCAGACACGUAGCAUGUCUCCAUGAAAUGUGACUUCUAUUCAGGUAUUUGUAAACUGGCGGUUUUGAAUCUGUUUUUUUAUGAACCGGAGGACAGUGUAGGGAUUUCAGGGUGGAUGUGGCGAGAACAACUUUGAUGCAGGUGCAACUGUCGGGAUAUUGUAGAUGAGAUGUGGUUGCAGCUUGGAGAACGUGAGGUCGGAGGUAUUUUUUGCCCUCAGUGAGGCAUUUCUCACUUAUCCUCCUCAUUUUGUCUUCCGCUCCCUUUUCCUGGUAGCUCCAGCCGACACGUCCACCAGUCAGCAGGGGGCGCUGCCCUACAAAAACAACAUUUUAGUCAUCAUCUUUGAUGAAUCACUCAUAACUGUUUGGGUCCAGAGAGUGUUACAUUCUGCUGAAGGGGCAAUGAGAAAAGUGCCCCGUCAGCUCAGCCAUUCGCUGACAUGAAGCGGUCACAUGGAAACCGUCCUGAGAGCCACUUCUCUCUCCUCUCUCUUUUUAACGGAAUCUUCAAUACGAGCUCUUCUCCUGCCUCCGAUUACUGCCAAAUAUUUUUCGCACAAUCUUGAAUAAUUGUGUUCAGAGUGUUGCCAUUCUGCCGUUUGUGUUCAAUUGUAUGAACUGAGAUGCUUGAAUGCGACGCUGGCUCAGGCUCUUUUUUUCACCAGCCGCCCCCGAUGUCCAGUCUCUUCUCACCACAUGUCCGAACCAUCUGUCCUCCCUUCCUUUGUCUCCAAACAUCUCCACGUCAGCUGUACUCGGUCACUCCGACAGAAAACCCAGGCUUCUUCUUCUCUGCCGCAUCUAUCUCGGCUUCCCGUCUGAGUCACAGCCUCUAAAGCAAGGGCCUCAAACCUGACUUCAAGGGGCCGCAGCAGGUUUUAGCUCCAUCAAGUGGACACCAGUCUGCUGAUCAGUGUUUAUCAGUCUGGUGCUGUUGGUAUCAGCUCAAACCUAAUUGGUUAAACAAAACUGGCUCUUUUGUGGAUCCGUUUGAGGCCCCUGCUGUGAACCAAACACCACAGCAGCUCUCACUUGAAUAGAGCUUCCCUUUCUCGGUUUUGUGAGGCUACUUUGAAAACUCCAAUACUGGCUGAAAAAAUAUUCAUCUCCUGCUUCACAUCAUCAGGAAUCAAAAUGCAAAGUUCUUCAGAGAUGGCUUCAGAUGUUGAUCUCAAUCAUGGAGUGUCAGAGGGACAAAAAAGUGAAAAGUGUUAUUAUGCAUUUCAUGGCAAGACCUGCGGAGAGUAUCCAAAAUGUGUAUGAGGAAAUCACCGCCAUCAUGGGGUCAAAUAUAUUUGAAUAUAAUAUUAUUAUAGGGAACUUUUUUUUCAUUUUUCUACCCUAAAAUGAGGAGUUAAAGGCCUAUAAAGGAAAUCGUGCCUGUGUUUCAAACGCCGCGUCCUGACUCUCAUGUAGAAGCGUCACUAAGGAUGCGAGCCAUGUAAGUGGUUAUAAACAAGAGGAAUCAGUGAAGAGAGCUUCAACAUGUCUCCCCGUGUGUGCUGCUCCUCAUCUCUUCUUCGUGUCUCAUCAGAGCUAUGUAUUGCGUAGUAACUGCAACACUGCCCCACAUGGUUUCCAGUGGUACUGCACCGUUUGGUCACAAGCUUUGGGGAAACAAGAGGAAAUAUGGACCAAAAGAACGCAGAGCAACGACAAAGGCUCCGUCCAUUUCCGGGUCUAUACAUAGCGGUGAGCAUAAUGAUGCUACCAGAAUGAAUGACAGGUGCUCUUUUGCUGGGGGCCGAGGGGUCAUUAAUAAUGGAGAUGGUGUCAUCCGCUAUUUACAAUUGCAGCCUUCCAGCUGGUUGUCAAAUUAAAUGUCAUUUUAUGGGGAGACGUUUCUACAUUUACUCUGGAAAAAAGAAAGAUAGAUAAAAAUCACACCAUCGGUUUUGGGACCAACAACCUCUUUAAGCCCUGGUUUAGCUAAACUGCUACGUUUGGGCACUAAAAUGGCAAGCGCUCCCCCCCUCACAGAUUUUAUUUUUACACCAUAUCUCAGCACAUAUCAAGGGAUUCUGCAUCAGCAUGCUGGCAUUUGCACAUUUAGUUCCUGUCACAUCCGGUAAGCGCAGAAGAGACAGGCCAGCUGAAAUGUACUGCGAGUACAGCACCAGACCAGCUACCUCAUGAACGCCAGCUGAGCUUCCAGUCAGUGGCACAACUGUGCAGAGAAAUCUGAAGGGAAAAAAAUCACCUUCCACGGGAUGAUCACAUGGUAUUAGGGUCCGUCUCCUUUCAUUUCGUUGUCAAAUUGGACUCCACCAUUGGUUUAGAAGCGAAACAAAGCAGGCUUGUUCAAAUAAAGAGCAACAUAUCGUGUUUUUAAUGCCACUGUCCUUAAUGAUGACUGACGUACCUGUGGAAUGGAUGUGAUUUUGCAUGAUUUUUUGGGGGUGAGACCAGUUUCAAUAUGACAGACUAAGUGCCAAGCAGACCAAUGACAGCAGAAAGCCCAGAGGGCCAGUCCUUGCCAUCUGCUGUCCUCACAGCCACCUCCUCAGCGUACACACACACACGUUAGCACAAAACCCGCGUUAUCGUUUCUACUCACUUGUCCACGGUGCGAGUGGUUUUUACAGCCCCAUCAUCAUAUUAGAAAUGUCUCAGUCCUGGGAAGUACCAUUAGUGCCAGAGGGGAGGGAUCCUGCAUAAUCCGAAGUGGAACUUGGAUUUGUGACAAACAUAGAAUCCUCAUGUUUUUUCAUGAUGCAUUGCAUGAAUUGGUUUCUUGCCUGACGGGGCAUUUUUGGACGCAGAGCUAGUCAAGUGGCUGCUCCCACGACUCACAUUACAUUUUAAACUCAAACCAUCUUCUGGAAAGAUCCAGUUUUUUUAGGAUUCUGGGGAAACACUAACAUACUGACAAUGUUCUUCCGUCAUGAUGGCUGGACUCGUGAGGGACGCCCUGAACCCAGCGUCGGUCCUGAGUUAACUUCGCUAAAGCUGCUGCCACAGAAGCUCCUUCAUGUGGAGAGAACAUCGCGAACUGGUUCAUCAAUAACUGUCGGGAUGUUUCUGUAUGUGACGACUGCACAAAUGCUCAUACUUUUUUGUCAUGCUGACUUAUGGAUAUAUGCUGUAUAGUAAUAGAACUGCCAAUAAAAC